rnacentral:siRNA from 1 species
UUGCCCUUUCUUAUUUGUUA